CCUACGGGAGGCAGCAGUGGGGAAUAUUGGACAAUGGGGGCAACCCUGAUCCAGCCAUGCCGCGUGAGUGAUGACGGCCUUAGGGUUGUAAAGCUCUUUUCUCCGGGACGAUAAUGACGGUACCGGAGGAAUAAGCCCCGGCUAACUUCGUGCCAGCAGCCGCGGUAAUACGAAGGGGGCUAGCGUUGCUCGGAAUCACUGGGCGUAAAGGGCGCGUAGGCGGCUGACUUAGUCGAGGGUGAAAGCCCGUGGCUCAACCACGGAAUGGCCUUCGAUACUGGUUGGCUUGAGACCGGAAGAGGACAGCGGAACUGCGAGUGUAGAGGUGAAAUUCGUAGAUAUUCGCAAGAACACCAGUGGCGAAGGCGGCUGUCUGGUCCGGUUCUGACGCUGAGGCGCGAAAGCGUGGGGAGCAAACAGGAUUAGAUACCCUGGUAGUCCACGCUGUAAACGAUGAAUGCUAGCCGUUGGUCUGCAUGCAGGUCAGUGGCGCCGCUAACGCAUUAAGCAUUCCGCCUGGGGAGUACGGUCGCAGAUAAACUACAAGAAGUAGAGCGUGAGAGUGCCGACGGACGACGACGAGGGAGGAGG
rnacentral:rRNA from 1 species